UCUGGCCAGAUUCCUAUCUGAACGGACAGCUGAGCCUCGAUCUGGACGGCGGAAAAGAGCAUCGGCUUCUGCGAGCCGCCUAGCAUUAAAGCCGCCGACGGCAAGACCAGGGUCAAGGCUUCGACAACCCCUCAACUGCCUGUCAGCUACCUAUCGAUCAGCGUCGCUCUGUAGCCGCACGGACUAUCCCGGCGGAUCACCGUUUAAACGCAAACGAAUCCAAGAUUUGACAAUUAGCAAAAUCGAUGAUUUGAGCUUCCGCACUGGGAAAAAAUAUCUGGUUGCACUAAUUGGAGAUCUGAAAGAUUCAACAAAAAAGCAACCAAAACAUCUUUCUUGUCAGUGUACAAUAUCACGGGAAAUUAAAUAAACC